ACUGAAUAUUUUCUCCGAGCCUUUCCUCCUAAUGGCUUUGCCUACGGAGACUGGCCGGCAGGGUGCCGCGGGAAACGGCGGCGCCUCCCGCGUUUGGAAAGGAGAAUGGUCUUGACCGGC
rnacentral:ncRNA from 2 species